GGCAAACUUAUUGAAAGAUAGGGACGCAAAGCCAUGGGUCUAACGGAUGAUUUCCUAUGAUUGCCAGGUUGCUG
rnacentral:ncRNA from 1 species